rnacentral:tRNA from 1 species
AGCAGAGUCAGCUAAUUAAGCUCCCGGGCUCAUCUACCCGUCAAUGUAGGCAAACAAUCCUUCCUCUGCUU